UACCAUGCAAGUCGAGCGAGAAAGUCACCUUCGGGUGGCGAGUAGAGCGGCGGACGGGUGAGUAACACGUGGGUAACCUGCCCUUCAGUGGGGGACAACAGCCCGAAGGGGUUGCUAAUACCGCAUACGUCGGCGAUUACCUCGGUAGUCGUCGGGAAAGCCGGGGAUCUUCGGACCUGGCGCUGAAGGAGGGGCCCGCGGCGCAUCAGCUUGUUGGUGGGGUAACGGCCUACCAAGGCAAAGACGCGUAGCUGGUCUGAGAGGAUGAUCAGCCACACUGGGACUGAGACACGGCCCAGACUCCUACGGGAGGCAGCAGUGGGGAAUAUUGGACAAUGGGGGAAACCCUGAUCCAGCCAUGCCGCGUGAGUGAGUAAGGCCCUCGGGUCGUAAAGCUCUGUGGAGAGGGACGAAAGAACGGUAGUUAAUAGCUGCCGGAGUGACGGUACCUCUUUAGCAAGCACCGGCUAACUCCGUGCCAGCAGCCGCGGUAAUACGGAGGGUGCAAACGUUGCUCGGAAUCAUUGGGCGUAAAGCGCGCGUAGGCGGUCCGGUAAGUCGGAUGUGAAAGCCCUCGGCUUAACCGAGGAAGUGCAUUCGAAACUGCCGGACUUGAGUACGGGAGAGGGCUGCGGAAUUCCCGGUGUAGAGGUGAAAUUCGUAGAUAUCGGGAGGAACACCAGUGGCGAAGGCGGCAGCCUGGACCGAUACUGACGCUGAGGUGCGAA
rnacentral:rRNA from 1 species